CAGAAUACUAAAAUAAGAGAUGAAGCAAAGAAUGCUCCAAUAGAACCAGUGAAACUUAUAAAUGUGGAAGAAGCUGCAUUCGGUGUCUCGCCAGCUGGAGACGGAGUUGGGCUUGUCUCAACUGUUCCUGCAGGAGGAGAACCCUCCCCGGCAGGUGCAGGAGAUGGGAUUACGCCCGUCUCAGCUGAAGGUGGAGGUGAAGCGUUAGAAGAUUGAUUGCUUCUGCUUGCCAAAACAACUACCACCAACUUCUCAUUCUUGAGACAAUUAUCUUUGUUUCCACUAAUGAAGUAGUGC
rnacentral:misc_RNA from 1 species